rnacentral:rRNA from 1 species
AUGUCUAAGUACAAGCCUGAACAUGGUGAAACCGCGAAUGGCUCAUUAAAUCAGUUAUGGUUCCUUAGAUCGUUAGUUGUCCUACAUGGAUAACUGUAGUAAUUCUAGAGCUAAUACAUGCAAUAAAGCUCCGACCUCACGGGAAGAGCGCGUUUAUUAGAUCAAGACCGACCGGGCUGAGUCUCUCGGUCCGCCUCUUGGUGAUUCUGGAUAACUUUGAGCUGAUCGCAUGGCCUCGAGCCGGCGACGUAUCUUUCAAAUGUCUGCCCUAUCA